UACGAAGGGGGCUAGCGUUGUUCGGAAUCACUGGGCGUAAAGCGCACGUAGGCGGAUCUUUAAGUCAGGGGUGAAAUCCCGAGGCUCAACCUCGGAACUGCCUUUGAUACUGGGGAUCUCGAGUCCGGGAGAGGUGAGUGGAACUGCGAGUGUAGAGGUGAAAUUCGUAGAUAUCGUAAGGAAGACCAGUGGCGAAGGCGGGUCUCUGGACAGUUCCUGACGCUGAGGCACGAAGGUCAGGGGAGCAAACGGG
rnacentral:rRNA from 1 species